ACCAAUCAGCGGCUCGUUUAUAUUUUAUGUAACUAUCAUCUCUCCUUCGUGCAAGCGAGAUGUUGAUUGGCUACCGUGGCAAUUUUCUAUCUCCAUUUCCGCCUAGAAAGGAAGGAGGGGUUGCAAUAAUAAUUUCAAUUGCAGGCUCUCCUCGCAGUGCGAGGCUCGCACUGAACCUAAUUUCAUUUAAAUUUCAUUUUAUAUGAACCUAAUUUCAAAGCUAUAGGUGUGCAUUUGGCCCUCAGCCAAUCAGCGCGCGAUCGGUCACGUGACGAGUUGUCGACUCUCUUAUUAAAGGCUCUCUACUUCCGCCGCGUGGCAAGCGUCGCGGAACGACAUUAAUUAUUACAUUUUCAUGUACUUAUAAUUAUUAUUACGAUAACUUUUUAUUUUCUCGUAAUGUUAUGUAUGGUACAUAACAUUACGAGGUAUGUAACACGUAAGUGAGUCCCAUUUGCUCGCAGAUAAGGUUCCACCAAUCAGAAUACUCAUUGAGCUAGGGAUAUUGUAUUCAUCGAAGUAUCGAGUGCUGUGAUUGGCGGUGUCUGAUCGUAACAAACGGGACACUCAUAUAGGUUACAUAACAUAAUAAGAUACAUACAUAUGAAUGUUGGGAGAUGGGUUGCAAUCCAAUUGACAUUAUUGCAAGUGCUUUACAAUAUUUUGUAUCCCUUUUUCUGCUCUCAAAUAAAAAAAUGAAAAUAAA